GACUUGAAAGGAGAAAAAGGAGAAAAAGGAUCAAGAGGACCCCUAGGGCCAAUGGGGUUUACAGGGCCAGUUGGUGAUUCUCAGAGUGAAAAGGGUGACCGAGGAGAACCAGGAGCACAGGUAUGUGCAAACAGUUGAAUACACAUGUGUUAGUCCUUUCUGGAAAGCAGUUUUGAACUAGUGUUGCUGUCCAGGUUUUGCCUCACUGCUACUUGGAGCAAAUUUGCUUAGAUUCAAAAGCUCUUUCUUGCAGUAAACUAGACAAGAGCUGGAAGUCAAGUGACUUAAAUGAGUACUUUGAGUGAAGGUCAGUUGCUUGUGAGUAUGCUUCCAUUUUUUUUGCUAUAAAGGCUCUGCUGUUGAACUUAGUAAAAAAGUGCUCUGCUAUACAUGUACUAGCUUUAUAAUGCAAGGGUAUAAGUAGAAGAGAAAACACUGGGUUUACUUGAGGCAGCAGAUUUAAAUUAGUAUGUUCAACCAGCAGCUGUGUGGAGACAUGAAGAAAAGUUGCCUAAGAGUUAUUCCAUUAACAGCAUAGUAUAUGAAAAAAUAAUACGUUUAUUGUAAAAAGUAUACAUAUUAAAAUGCAUUUUACCUGAUUAUAUCUUUUUUUGGAAGAUAAUUAAUGGAAAGCUAUUACUUUUAUUCAAAUGCCCUUCAACUUGAAGAGAAAUUACUUAAUGAAAAGGAAUAGGGAGUGCACUUCAAAGGUAUCUGAAGCAGGGCAGUAGAUGGAAAAGUGAAAACAGAAGGAAGAAGCAUGUUUUGUCAUUUGUCUUGUUUCUGCAAGAGCCUGAUUUUUCACCAAGCUUUCUGUACUUCCCUGGCACUUUGUACUGGUGAAGUCUGGCAGAAGUAAUCCUCCACAGGAGGAGGAAUGUCAAUGGAAUAUCUUACUACUUGUUUUGUAGAGUUUUAUGAACUCUAGUUGUGAUUAAUGAAUACUUUAAAAUAACCUUAAUGGCUUUUUACUGUUUACACAGUUUACAGUUACACAGUUUACAGCAUCGAAUUGCUAUGCUCUUUGAAUGCAAUAUCCCCAAUUUUAGGGGUUUUUUAUUUUAUUUUACAUUUUUCCUUUGUAGGGCAAACCUGGAAAAGAAGGUGCCCCAGGUCCACCUGGCUUACCGGGCCAAAAGGGUGAACAGGGCAGGCCAGGACUGGCUGGAAGGCGAGGAGCUAAGGUAUUGUCCAAUGGUUUUUUUAUCGCUUUUGAGGAUGAGGAUGAGGAUGAGGAUAAGGUAUGUUUGGGGGUUAUGAUAUAAUUUUAUGUAUCAUUGUGUUUCACUUGGCCUGAGAGAUGACAAAUAAGGAUAUCAUGGAAUAGGGAAUGAAUCAGCUAAAACAAACCAUGUGUUUGAACUGGUGUCUGUCUAUGUCUGCUGAUGACUUCCUGUAGUUUUUGGUGUAUGCAGCUGAAUGGUUGUGUAAGGAACAGAGACAGGAAGAACUGGUCAGGAGCAGAAGUUUUUCUUUAAUGUUUUGAGCAAUGUACCGAAGUAACAGUGGGUAAAUGUCAUUACACAUAUUGUUUUUAAUAAACAAACCUAUCUUUGUCCUCUGAUGAAGGGCAUGAAAGGAAACACUGGUCCACCUGGAGCUCGUGGUCGAGUAAGUGUAAAUUAUUUCCUACAUCAUUUUUCUAAACCAUUAGAAUAAUCCAAACUGUCUGCAUGAGCCAGUAAUGGAUGUCCUGUGAUGCUCUAAUCAAGCAUGGCUUUCACAAAGUACUGAUAUUGCUGGGAUUCUCACACAGGUGAUAUCUUCCUUCAUAUGGAAUUGGAUACAGGAUCUGUGCCUGGUUAGACCUCACUCAGAUGAAGCAAUUUUGGCAGGAGAUUCGACUGUCAAAGAACAGUUACAAAAAUUCAUAGGAGUUAAUAUUUAAACCAAUUUCUGAUCACUUCCAGAACAGGUGGCAUUCAUUUUAAAAUCCUAAGAAGACUUUUUAAAGAAAGCAAGAGUUGCUAUGAGUACAAUUUCCCUGUCUAGUCGUGCUGUUUCCCUAGUGGCUUUCCUAAAGGCCCCAUGUGCAUCUAAUGGAAACCUUUGGCCUAAAUUGUUCAAAAGAAAUAGCUUUGUGAAAAGCUGAAGUGUUUGUGAUAUUGACAGAGUACUAAAAAGACACUGCUUCUAAUAUCAAUUAUUUUGUCAUUUCUGGUUGCUUGUAAUUAGUAAGGUGUUGUGGGCUCAGAACAUCAGAAUUAUGAAUGAGAUCGAAACACUUCUUUAAUCAAAUGUUCAGUGUGAGGUACUGUGCUUCUCUCUUCAUUCUUGCAACUCUUUAUUUU
rnacentral:lncRNA from 13 species